rnacentral:rRNA from 1 species
UACGGAGGAUGCAAGCGUUAUCCGGAAUGAUUGGGCGUAAAGCGUCCGCAGGUGGCUAUGUAAGUCUGCUGUUAAAGAGUCAUGCUCAACAUGAUAAGAGCAGUGGAAACUACAUGGCUAGAGUGCGUUCGGGGCAGAGGGAAUUCCUGGUGUAGCGGUGAAAUGCGUAGAUAUCAGGAAGAACACCGGUGGCGAAGGCGCUCUGCUAGGCCGCAACUGACACUGAGGGACGAAAGCUAGGGGAGCGAAUGGG